rnacentral:sRNA from 1 species
UAGGAAAGCUUGUGUUCCAGGGCAAUCGGCAAGGGGAGGGGGUGGGGCCUGGAUCGUAAUGGGCGGGACCUUAGAGAAUGUGCGUGGCCUCAAGUGCGGUGGGCGGGGCCUAGAGAGCAAAUGAGCUUGGUGAUCGGUGAGUCUAGUUUUUCUAUCUCUUAGCUCUACUCCGCCUUCCCCAGGUGCUGGGAGCGCAACGAAGUCAAGGCCAUUUGGUGGAUUAUACGGACCCCCAUCCUCAUAACCAUCUUGGUAGGAUCGGUCCCGCCUCCACCAGGCCGCCCUCAGGGAUUUCCCAUUCUGGGAAGUGGGGUGCCACCUCCUCCUGCCCCUUCAGAAUGGGAUUGCGGCUGGCUCAGCCCUUAUCUCUCCCCACAGAUUAAUUUCCUCAUUUUUAUCCGCAUUCUUGGCAUUCUCCUGUCCAAGCUGAGGACACGGCAAAUGCGCUGCCGGGAUUACCGGCUGAGGCUGGCUCGCUCCACGCUGACGCUGGUGCCCCUGCUGGGUGUCCACGAGGUGGUGUUUGCUCCCGUGACAGAGGAACAGGCCCGGGGCACCCUGCGCUUCGCCAAGCUCGGCUUUGAGAUCUUCCUCAGCUCCUUCCAGGUGCUCAGGCAGGGUGCAGGGGCUCUAUCCUUCCACCCAGGGCCUCCUCCCCAGAGGGGCACGAAAGCAACAGUCGUUCUCUGUUGCAGCCACUGAAUGGGGUGUGAAGAUGGGAUUUAGUUCGUUCAUUAAUUCAUUCAUUCUUUUUUUUUUUUUUUUUUUGGGGGGGGACGGAUUCUCGCCCUG